rnacentral:rRNA from 1 species
UACGUAGGGGGCAAGCGUUGUCCGGAAUUAUUGGGCGUAAAGCGCGCGCAGGCGGCCAUUUAAGUCUGGUGUAUAAGUCCGGGGCUCAACCCCGGGACGCACUGGAAACUGGGUGGCUUGAGUGCAGAAGAGGAAAGUGGAAUUCCACGUGUAGCGGUGAAAUGCGUAGAGAUGUGGAGGAACACCAGUGGCGAAGGCGACUUUCUGGGCUGUAACUGACGCUGAGGCGCGAAAGCGUGGGGAGCAAACAGG